CCCUUAGAUGUUCUGGGCCGCACACGCGCUACACUGAAGGAGGCAGCGUGUACUCCUGGAUCGAAAGAUUUGGGUAACCCGCGAAUCUCCUUCGUGCUAGGGAUUGAGGUUUGCAAUUAUCCUUCAUGAACGAGGAAUUCCCAGUAAGUGCAAGUCAUAAGCUUGCGCUGACUACGUCCCUGCCCUUUGUACACACCGCCCGUCGCUACUACCGAUUGAAUGAUUUAGUGAGGACUUCGGACUGGGGCCGAUGCGGCUUUCGGGCUGCGUCGGUAUUCUGGAAAGAUGUCCAAACUGUAUCAUUUAGAGGAAGUAAAANUCGUAACA
rnacentral:rRNA from 1 species